UACGUAGGUGGCAAGCGUUGUCCGGAUUUAUUGGGCGUAAAGCGAGCGCAGGCGGUUUCUUAAGUCUGAUGUGAAAGCCCCCGGCUCAACCGGGGAGGGUCAUUGGAAACUGUCUGACUAGAGUCUUGUAGAGGGGGGUAGAAUUCCAGGUGUAGCGGUGAAAUGCGUAGAGAUUAGGAAGAACACCAGUGGCGAAGGCGACUUUCUGGACUGUAACUGACGCUGAGGCUCGAAAGCGUGGGGAGCAAAC
rnacentral:rRNA from 1 species